rnacentral:misc_RNA from 1 species
UUAACUAUUAUAUAGUACUCAGACAAUAUUAUUAACAGAGUUUUGGGUUCUUUAGCAGGCACUGACCAGCCUAAGCCGGUGGCCAAAAAGGCGGGCCUGCUAAAGCAACAAAGGUAUGUAAACAAAGGGUGGAGUUCUCAUCUGAGAGAGAUUUUACUUCUCUCAGAUAUCGAAGCUCUGUAAUGAUCCUUCCGCAGGUUCACCUACGGAAA